rnacentral:rRNA from 1 species
AGAAUCAACGCUGGCGGCGUGCCUAACACAUGCAAGUCGAACGAGAAAGUGGAGCAAUCCAUGAGUAAAGUGGCGCACGGGUGAGUAACACGUGACUAACCUACCCUUGAGUGGGGAAUAACUUCGGGAAACCGAGGCUAAUACCGCAUAACACCUACGGGUCAAAGGAGCAAUUCGCUUAAGGAGGGGGUCGCGGCAGAUUAGUUAGUUGGCAGGGUAAUGGCCUACCAAGACGGUGAUCUGUAUCCGGCCUGAGAGGGCGCACGGACACACUGGAACUGAAACACGGUCCAGACUCCUACGGGAGGCAGCAGUGGGGAAUUUUGCGCAAUGGGGGGAAACCCUGACGCAGCAACGCCGCGUGGAGGAUGAAGUCCCUUGGGACGUAAACUCCUUUCGAUCGGGACGAUUAUGACGGUACCGGAAGAAGAAGCCCCGGCUAACUUCGCGCCAGCAGCCGC